rnacentral:lncRNA from 1 species
GCGCACGUCAGUCAUCUAUGGGGUUUCCCACUGGUUCCCAACUUAACUCAAAAAAUCUACUCAAAAGUUGAUAAUCUUUAUUGUGCUGCUUAUAAAAUCUUAGUUAGGACAACAAUGAGAGAAAUUGGUUGGGCAAACAAGUUUUUGUAGGUUGUAAAUGGAAAGCUUUAUUUCUGAGUCAGUUUAAUUUGAAAACUUUAAUUAAAUCAACAAUUACGAGUUAUCGUUUUUACAGUGUAGCCCCUGUGGACCAUUUGCAUGCUAAUGAUCUGGGUGGUCACCUGAGAGUCGUUAGCAGGGUCGACCAAAUGGUCCACAGGGGCUAUAUAUUUUCAAGCUCUCUCCCCAGCGAUUUCAGAACUGAAGAAGCCUUCUGGAUAGAAGGCGAAAUGUCUUCAAGAGAAGAAACCCAGUCCAGUUGACAUAGAAAACUACCUUGGAUACAAUGACCUGGAUGAUUGAGAAUCUACACAGACAUCUCCUCUCCUCUCCUUUCCUCCUCCUCAUCAAGCAGACUAGUUAUGCUGAUUCUUGUGUAGUUUUUCUGCUUCUCUCCCCCCCUUCUGUAUUCAUUUACAGCUAUCGCCGCCUUCAGAGCUGCAUGAUGACCUCCGGCCCCACUGACCCGCUGUAUAAAUAGUGUAUUUUUGUAUGCGUUUCUGUGCUCUGUGCCCGUCUUCUCCCUCUCCUCUCUCUCUACCCAGCUGGCCAUCAGCAGGAGGGUCCCCCUACAUGAGCCUGGUCCUGCUUAAGGUUUCUUUCUGUUAAAGGGGAGUUUUUCCUUGCCACUGUUGCUUGUCUGGGGUUAGGCCCUGGGAUUCUGGAAAGCACCUUGAAACAAUUUUGAUUGUAAAAGAUGCUAUAUAAAUAAAGAUUGAUUUGAUUUGAUUUGACAGAGAGAUCCAGCACAGAGCCAACACAGGAGUCGGGUUCUGCACAUUUCACAAGUGUAGCAGGACAGCAUGGAGACCUCAAACAGAUUCUCAAUCAUCCAGGUCAUCAAGGUAGUUUUCUCUGUCAACUGGACUGUGUUUCUUCUCUGUGAAGACGUUUCACCUUCUAUCCAGAAGGCUUCUUCAGUUCUGAAUUCACUGGGGACCGAGCUUGAAAAUAUAACCCCUGAUCUGAGUGGUCACCUGAGAGUCGUUGGCAGGGUCGUUGGUAAGUUCAUUCACCUAGUUUCACAACGGGAGAAAUAG